rnacentral:rRNA from 1 species
GACGAACGCUGGCGGCGUGCCUAAUACAUGCAAGUAGAACGCUGAAGGAGGAGCUUGCUCUUCUGGAUGAGUUGCGAACGGGUGAGUAACGCGUAGGUAACCUGCCUGGUAGCGGGGAUAACUAUUGGAAACGAUAGCUAAUACCGCAUAAUAGUAGAUGUUGCAUGAUAUUUACUUAAAAGGUGCAAUUGCACCACUACCAGAUGGACCUGCGUUGUAUUAGCUAGUUGGUGGGGUAACGGCUCACCAAGGCGACGAUACAUAGCCGACCUGAGAGGGUGAUCGGCCACACUGGGACUGAGACACGGCCCAGACUCCUACGGGAGGCAGCAGUAGGGAAUCUUCGGCAAUAGACGAAAGUCUGACCGAGCAACGCCGCGUGAGUGAAGAAGGUUUUCGGAUCGUAAAGCUCUGUUGUAAGAGAAGAACGAGUGUGAGAGUGGAAAGUUCACACUGUGACGGUAUCUUACCAGAAAGGGACGGCUAACUACGUG